rnacentral:rRNA from 1 species
AUUGAACGCUGGCGGCAGGCCUAACACAUGCAAGUCGAACGAGUGGCGGACGGGUGAGUAAUGUCUGGGCAACUGCCUGAUGGAGGGGGAUAACUACUGGAAACGGUAGCUAAUACCGCAUACCAUCGGAUGUGCCCAGAUGGGAUUAGCUAGUAGGUGGGGUAAAGGCUCACCUAGGCGACGAUCCCUAGCUGGUCUGAGAGGAUGACCAGCCAAACUGGAACUGAGACACGGUUCAGACUCCUACGGGAGGCAGCAGUGGGGAAUAUGGCACAAGGGGCGCAAGCCUGAUGCAGCCAUGCCGCGUGGAUGAAGAAGGCCUUCGGGUUGUAAAGUACUUUCAGCGGGGAGGCGUGACCCGCAGAAGAAGCACCGGAUAACUCCGUGCCAGCAGCCGCGGUAUAC